rnacentral:rRNA from 1 species
UGAACGCUGGCGGCGUGCCUAAUACAUGCAAGUCGAACGAGUUCUGAUUAUUGAAAGGUGCUUGCAUCUUGAUUUUAAUUUUGAACGAGUGGCGGACGGGUGAGUAACACGUGGGUAACCUGCCCUUAAGUGGGGGAUAACAUUUGGAAACAGAUGCUAAUACCGCAUAAAUCCAAGAACCGCAUGGUUCUUGGCUGAAAGAUGGCGUAAGCUAUCGCUUUUGGAUGGACCCGCGGCGUAUUAGCUAGUUGGUGAGGUAACGGCUCACCAAGGCAAUGAUACGUAGCCGAACUGAGAGGUUGAUCGGCCACAUUGGGACUGAGACACGGCCCAAACUCCUACGGGAGGCAGCAGUAGGGAAUCUUCCACAAUGGACGCAAGUCUGAUGGAGCAACGCCGCGUGAGUGAAGAAGGCUUUCGGGUCGUAAAACUCUGUUGUUGGAGAAGAAUGGUCGGCAGAGUAACUGUUGUCGGCGUGACGGUAUCCAACCAGAAAGCCACGGCUAACUACGUGCCAGCAGCCGCGGUAAUACGUAGGUGGCAAGCGUUAUCCGGAUUUAUUGGGCGUAAAGCGAGCGCAGGCGGUUUUUUAAGUCUGAUGUGAAAGCCCUCGGCUUAACCGAGGAAGUGCAUCGGAAACUGGGAAACUUGAGUGCAGAAGAGGACAGUGGAACUCCAUGUGUAGCGGUGAAAUGCGUAGAUAUAUGGAAGAACACCAGUGGCGAAGGCGGCUGUCUGGUCUGUAACUGACGCUGAGGCUCGAAAGCAUGGGUAGCGAACAGGAUUAGAUACCCUGGUAGUCCAUGCCGUAAACGAUGAAUGCUAGGUGUUGGAGGGUUUCCGCCCUUCAGUGCCGCAGCUAACGCAUUAAGCAUUCCGCCUGGGGAGUACGACCGCAAGGUUGAAACUCAAAGGAAUUGACGGGGGCCCGCACAAGCGGUGGAGCAUGUGGUUUAAUUCGAAGCAACGCGAAGAACCUUACCAGGUCUUGACAUCUUUUGAUCACCUGAGAGAUCAGGUUUCCCCUUCGGGGGCAAAAUGACAGGUGGUGCAUGGUUGUCGUCAGCUCGUGUCGUGAGAUGUUGGGUUAAGUCCCGCAACGAGCGCAACCCUUAUGACUAGUUGCCAGCAUUUAGUUGGGCACUCUGGUAAGACUGCCGGUGACAAACCGGAGGAAGGUGGGAUGACGUCAAAUCAUCAUGCCCCUUAUGACCUGGGCUACACACGUGCUACAAUGGAUGGUACAACGAGUUGCGAGACCGCGAGGUCAAGCUAAUCUCUUAAAGCCAUUCUCAGUUCGGACUGUAGGCUGCAACUCGCCUACACGAAGUCGGAAUCGCUAGUAAUCGCGGAUCAGCACGCCGCGGUGAAUACGUUCCCGGGCCUUGUACACACCGCCCGUCACACCAUGAGAGUUUGUAACACCCGAAGCCGGUGGCGUAACCCUUUUAGGGAGCGAGCCGUCUAAGGUGGGACAAAUGAUUAGGGUGAA